rnacentral:lncRNA from 1 species
CGUUCACUUAUGCCCGUGUCUCCGUCUGUAUUGACAAUUUAUUAGAAAGAGACCUAAAAGCCAACCAUUACUAGACACAUUUUAAUGGAUUGAAUUUAGUGUUACAUGUGAUUUCUUUUUUAUUUAUUUAUCUUCCUGUACAAGGUUUAGAUCGAUUGCUUUUGGAUUUGCUUUGCAAAAUUAUCCAAAGUGAGUGGCUAGUUCGUUAGGAUGGGCAAGCAUGGAGUCGAUUCUCGUUUCUUUGAACUUGAGGAGGGAGCAUUUAAGGGCAGAUUCCCAAGUAGUUUGGUUAGGCCAUAGUGAUUGCAUAUACUGGUGAAUAAGUACUUAAGAUUAUUCAUCUUUAAGGUUUUACCUAUCUCCAAAUUCACGUAGCUCAACUCAAUAUCCGAUGUAGAAUAAAUAGUUAAAUGUAAAAUGCAAGAUUUCCUAAAAUACAAUAUUAAACUUCUAAAGCGGUAUUUUAAAUUUUUUUAUUACUAAUACUGAUGUAAAAUAUUCAGUUUGACUCAAAAAAAUCGAUUGGAUUGAAAAUUAAAAACCGAUCCAGUGUAAAUUUUCCUCAUCCUCAAAUCUUAUCUCUAUCCUUAUCCUUUUUCCCUCAAGAAUAUAAAACCCAUAAGCUGAGCCCAACUGUCUCUCACUAACAGCCUGUCAGCCGUCAGCUUGCCAUCAUUUCAGUCUUGCCACCUCCUCCAAUUAAUCGGCGAUGUCGAUUUGACUCAUUGACGUCACAGCUUUGCAAUUGAUGGUAAGUGGUAAAUUUAGCUCUUCUCAAUUUCAGAGUGUAGCAUUUCUUAAUUUUUUUUGAAUCUAUUAGUUUUAUGGUGAUUGAAUAUUUGAAGUGAUAAACUGCUGUUAACGACUUAAUUUUUUUUUAACACAAUUAAUGACUUAAUGAUACGGUUACUUUUACGGUCAUUCAAGCCAGGGUUGUGAAUCAAUUUAAGGACCACAGUUUGGUGUCAUGAGUUCUGAUAAAUGAUGUUAAUUCAACUAAUUAUUUGAUGACCAAUGAGCAUUUGGUCCAAUAAGAGAAGUCUUAUAUUUAUAAUACUGAGUGUAAGGGUUUGGAUUUCUAUAAGAAUUUUAUGAGGGUUAAUUUCAGUACUCCCUCAAUUAUCAAUAUAAUUGAGUGGAGACAGUCUCUUUUUUAUGAAAUAUGAGUGAAGUAGGUAUUCUUCGAAUAUUAGAGAAGGUUUAAAAUAUCUGGACAAGUAUUUCAGUAUGUCAAUGUAUAGUUUAAAAUAUUUAGGUAAGUACUUUGCUACGUCAAUGUAUGACAUAGUCCCAAUUAUAUAGUAUGAUUAUAAAUAUUAAUUGUAAUAUCUGAUGUAAUAUCAGUAACAUCUGUAUAUAAUAAAUUUUAAAAAAAAACUAAUUAUUUGAUGUAAAAAUAAUAAUACUAUAGAAAAAAAAGUUGAUUGUACAUGAAUGUUUUUGUCGUGAUUUCAGAUGUGUGAUCCGGAUGGUUCAAGAGUUCGUGAGCUGUUUGCAGUUGAGGCUUACAAUUUGGAGUAACAGUUGGGGGAAAAGAAUGAAUUAUAUUCUUUUGGUGUUUUAGAAAGUAAUAGUUGAGUGAGAAGAAUAAAUUAGAUGUAUUCUUUUUAUGCUUAGGUUCGUCAUUUGUUUACAUCUGUUACCUGUAUCCAGAAAAAUAAAUGCACAUUUUGUCAACCUGUACAUGACAAUCACGACACCCUGGCAAACUCAAUUGGUUUUUUUUUUUUCUUUUUAAUUUCAUCAUUUUCUGUCUGUUGAUGGUUAUUUUGGUGGGGCCUAAUUGCUGCUAAUGUAACUAUUGCUGCUUGUGUUGAGAGCUGAUGGAGAAUUGGAGGGGGACUUAAUUUAUUAUGUUAUCAUUCAGUAAAGUAAGUGUUGCUGCCCGUUUAUUUGCUUGGAUUUUGACAUAUGGAAAUUGGAUAUGGUUUAAGCUUGUUAUUUUUCAUUGUUGUACUGAAUUGAAAUUGUAUUUAAUUGAGUUUGGAGACUAUCAUUGCAAACCCGACCCAAUUUUCAGCACGACUUGAAUUUUUACAUGAAAUUAC